GACAAACGCUGGCGGCAUGCCUAACACAUGCCAGUCGAACGGACAGAACAGGGAAGCUUUUCGGAGUGGAACUGGAAAGUUAGUGGCGGAUGGGUGAGUAACGCGUGGACAACCUACCUUGUAAAGGGGAAUAACCUCGAGAAAUCGAAGCUAAUACCCCAUAAUAACCUUGCUUCGCAUGAAGUAAGGAGGAAAGGCGGCCUUAGCGCUGUCGAUACAAGAUGGGUCCGCGUCUGAUUAGCUAGUUGGUGAGGUAAAGGCUCACCAAGGCGACGAUCAGUAGCCGGCCUGAGAGGGUGAACGGCCACAUUGGGACUGAGACACGGCCCAAACUCCUACGGGAGGCAGCAGUGGGGAAUCUUCCGCAAUGGGCGAAAGCCUGACGGAGCAAUGCCGCGUGAGUGAAGAAGGCCUUCGGGUUGUAAAACUCUGUCCUUAUCGAAGAGAGAGUGUUGUAGUAACUGACAAUACUAGGACGGUAGAUGAGGAGGAAGCCCCGGCUAACUAUGUG
rnacentral:rRNA from 1 species